rnacentral:rRNA from 1 species
UACGUAGGCAGCGAGCGUUGUUCGGAGUUACUGGGCGUAAAGGGUGUGUAGGCGGUUUUCUAAGUUUGGUGUGAAAUCUCCCGGCUCAACCGGGAGGGUGCGCCGAAAACUGGGAGACUAGAGUGCUGGAUGGGAGAGUAGAAUUCCUGGUGUAGCGGUGAAAUGCGUAGAUAUCUGGAGGAAUACCGAUGGCGAAGGCAGCCUUCUGGCCUAAUACUGACGCUGAGGUGCGAAAGCAUGGGGAGCAAACAGG